UCCAUGCUUCCAAGAAAAGCAUCUAGAGAGAGAAGUAGUGCCCGUACCGCAAACCGACACAGGUAGAUGAAGAGAGAAUCCUAGGGCCGGCGGAAGAAUUGCAGUUAAGGAACUAGGCAAAUUGACCCCGUAAGUUAGCGAGAAGGGGUGCCUGCGAGAGCAGGCCGCAGAGAAUAGGCCCAAGCAACUGUUUAGCAAAAACACAGGUCUCUGCUAAAGCGCAGGCUGAUGUAUAGGGGCUGACGCCUGCCCGGUGCUGGAAGGUUAAGGGGAACACUUAGCGCAAGCGAAGGUGUGAACUUAAGCCCCAGUAAACGGCGGCCGUAACAAUAACGGUCCUAAGGUAGCGAAAUUCCUUGUCAGGUAAGUUCUGACCCGCACGAAUGGCGUAAUGACUUGGGCACUGUCUCAACUGCAAAUCCGGCGAAGUUGUAGUGCGAGUGAAGAUGCUCGCUACCCGCGAUUGGACGGAAAGACCCCGUAGAGCUUUACUGUAGCUUAGCAUUGAAUUCCGGUAUUGUCUGUACAGGAUAGGUGGGAGACUGGGAAACUAGGGCGUCAGCCUUGGUGGAGUCGUCCUUGGGAUACCACCCUGACAGUACUGGGGUUCUAACAGGACGCCAUGAAUCUGGUGACUGGACAUUGUUAGGUGGGCAGUUUGACUGGGGCGGUCGCCUCCUAAAAAGUAACGGAGGCGCCCAAAGGUUCCCUCAGAACGGUCGGAAAUCGUUCGUAGAGUGCAAAGGCAGAAGGGAGCCUGACUGCGAGACCUACAAGUCGAGCAGGGGCGAAAGUCGGGCUUAGUGAUCCGGUGGUACCUCGUGGGAGGGCCAUCGCUCAACGGAUAAAAGCUACCUCGCGGAUAACAGGCUGAUCUCCCCCAAGAGUCCACAUCGACGGGGAGGUUUGGCACCUCGAUGUCGGCUCGUCGCAUCCUGGGGCUGUAGUAGGUCCCAAGGGUUGGGCUGUUCGCCCAUUAAAGCGGCACGCGAGCUGGGUUCAGAACGUCGUGAGACAGUUCGGUCCCUAUCCGUCGCGGGCGUAGGAAAUUUGAGAGGAGCUGUCCUUAGUACGAGAGGACCGGGAUGGACUGACCUCUGGUGCACCAGUUGUUCUGCCAAGAGCAUGGCUGGGUAGCUAAGUCGGGAAGGGAUAAACGCUGAAAGCAUCUAAGCGUGAAGCCUCCCUCAAGAUGAGAUUUCCCAUAGCAUAAGCUAGUAAGACCCCUUGAAGAACACGAGGUUGAUAGGUCAGAGGUGUAAGUGUGGUAACAUAUUUAGCUGACUGAUACUAAUAGGUCGAGGGCUUGACC
rnacentral:rRNA from 1 species